rnacentral:rRNA from 1 species
AUUGAACGCUGACGGCAGGCCUAACACAUGCAAGUCGAGCGGAUGAAGGGAGCUUGCUCCUGGAUUCAGCGGCGGACGGGUGAGUAAUGCCUAGGAAUCUGCCUGGUAGUGGGGGAUAACGUCCGGAAACGGGCGCUAAUACCGCAUACGUCCUGAGGGAGAAAGUGGGGGAUCUUCGGACCUCACGCUAUCAGAUGAGCCUAGGUCGGAUUAGCUAGUUGGUGGGGUGAAGGCCUACCAAGGCGACGAUCCGUAACUGGUCUGAGAGGAUGAUCAGUCACACUGGAACUGAGACACGGUCCAGACUCCUACGGGAGGCAGCAGUGGGGAAUAUUGGACAAAGGGCGAAAGCCUGAUCCAGCCAUGCCGCGUGUGUGAAGAAGGUCUUCGGAUUGUAAAGCACUUUAAGUUGGGAGGAAGGGCAGUAAGUUAAUACCUUGCUGUUUUGACGUUACCAACAGAAUAAGCACCGGCUAACUUCGUG